CGGGGCCCACGGCGCACACUGCCGGGUGGAGGGGAGGCCUCAGAAUUUCCUGGCGUCUGCUCACUGGUGUUGCAAACAGGGGGAGAGAGAGUGUCAGGGACGAAGGGAGAUUAUGUAAGCGAUUUUCCUCCUGAGCCUUCUCGGGCACAGUCAGACCAGACCAUGUGCAAAAGUAUUUCACGAGACUGGCAGCAGCUGUGUCCCCACAGGAUUAACCCUUGUGGGGACCUGGAUGGCUCGCCCAGGGGACUGUGCUGACAGGAGACACUGGUGGGUAGGGGGUGGGACAGUGUGGAUUUGAAGGUGGCAGUGCUGUGUGAUUUUGCAUGUGUGGCCUCAACACUGUGCCUCUGCCCCUCUCCCGCUAGAAGACAGGGUAGUCAUGAUGAGCACCUGCUCACGAGGCCAGCCAGGGUUCUCGGAGGUGACUCACAGAAAGCACGGCCCACUGUCCCUGGCUCUGCCGGAGGUGUAAGAAGGAGCUAGUGACAGCUGCCGCCCAAAGCCCUUGCCUUCCAGGACCAGGCCGGUUUCCAGCUGUGCCCACCUGCCUUUGGGGAGAAGUGGCCAUAGCUGGGGUCAGCUGAGGUCAGCCAGGCAGGACCCCGCAGGGGUGAGGGCCACAGGCCAGGGAGCUGCGAAACCCAUCAGGGGAGCGUGGUCCCCCAGGUGAGGUGGCCGGGCUGGGCCCAGUGCUUCCACCCUCUGACGCAGCAACGGGAGGAUUCCCAUGGCUACUACCUACUCUCAAAGCGCUUCUGUGCCGAGGACCUGAGGGCAGGGACCGCCUCCGCCUCAUCACUGGGUGCUCCUCCCGGGGUCACCUUCUGGCCCGGGAGAGUCCGGAGUGAAGCUACAGCCGAAGAUGACCAUGUGGUGUUAAUAUGGCGAACUGUGCCAAUUGACGUUUAAGAUCACACACAGCCUUGCUGCAGCCCUGAGCCCAGUCCCAUCCAGUCACCACCUGCCAGCGCCAGCAUCACAAAAUGCCACCAUUUUCGCCUUUGGUUUCCGAGGGCUUAGGACCGUCAAGAGGCUGGAGACUGUCUUCUUUCCUCUCCAAGUCACCCUGGCCAGGCACUGCCUCGGGAGGCAAGGCGAAAGUGCACUUUGCCACCACGGCCCCAGGGAAGCCUGAACGGUGCUUGCUUCUCGACAUUCCCUACACUGGCAGUCCUGGAGCCGGGGCUUCUCUUCCAUGGCCAAGACCUCAAGUUCAGGAUGCUCUCACCACCCAAAGACGACAGCCGAUACCCCAUCUAGGCCCCGCAGCACUAGUCUGCUGCCUGGCGUUCCAUGCAAGUGCAGUCACACAGGGUGGCCUUCUGCACCCUCUUCUGGGCACCGAGAGGCCCCUCUGCGACUUCACCCCAGCUCCAUGCGUGUCAGUGCUGCCUCCCUCCCUGUCAGACAACACUCCGCAUGGUUUCUCCAGCACCUGCCGGACGCCUGGGCCCUCCCCACCUCUUGGCCGUCAUGCAUAACGCUGCUGUGCGCACUCACAUACAGGUGUGUGGGAGGGGCAUUUCAGUCCCCUGUGUUCUAGUCGGCCUUUCCCUGCUGUGGCCAAAAGACACGACAAGAACGACUCAGAGGAGGAGAAGCUUGUUUGGGCUCAUGGUUUCAGAGGAGCCCACCAUGGUCGCCGCCCUGUUGCUCUGGGCCCGAGGUGAGGCCGAACAUCACAGUGGAAGAGCGUGGUAGAGGAAACCCCAGUCCACAACAGCAAGAGGCAGAGCUCUCACCCUCCAGGAGCAAAAGGUAAACCCCAAAGGCACCCCCCCUCCCUGGCCUGCCUACAGUUACCACCCAGUUCAUCCAUUCAAGUGGAUUAAUUCACUGACUGGGGCACAGAUCUGCUAAUUCAAUCAUUUCACCUCGAAUGUUCUUUGUCUUACACAUGAGCAUUUGGGGGAUCACCCGUUAUAUAAACCAUAAUAUUCCACCACGGUCCUCAAAAGCUCAUGCCCAUCACACAAUGCAAAAUACAAUUAUUCCAUUUCCAAGACUCCACAGUCUGACAGUUCCAGCAUUGCCAAAAUCUACCUCCAAAAUCUCAUGAGACUCCAGGCCAACUCAUGGAUGUUCUCUGUUAAAAUCAAAAUCAGCUACAUGUAUCCAUAUAAAGGCACAGAGGAAACAUUUCUACUCCACAAGGGAGAAGGAGGGGCGCAGAGAAAAGGGGUAAGACCAAAGCAAGACUGAAAUCUAGCUGGGCCAACAAAUCCCGCAGCUCCGCGUCCAGCACCUGGAGAUCCUGGCAUCGGGAGGAUCUCUCCACGGGCUUGUGCAGCUCUUCCCCGUGAUCUUGCUGGUUGCAGCCCACGUGACCUCUCCUGUGGCUGGUCUGUCUCAUUCCUGCACCUUUCCACAGCAGGGGUCCCUCAUUACUGGCAUCUCUUAGUCUCAGGGAUCUCCACAGCAGCUUCAAGUUCCUUCUCCCAUCUUCAUGCACUGCCCUCUCAGGGGCUGCCUGCAGGGACUCCAACACUGCUACCUUGUCCCUGGCCUCUUUGGUCUUCCUGUUGAAAUCUCAGUGGAAGUCCCAUACCCCCUAAAUCCAGCAUUCUGCAAUCCUGCAGAACCAGCACCACAUGGCUGCCACCGAGGUCUCCCACCAUCUCAAGCAGUAGCCAAGCCUCCUGGGACAUGGCCGCAGCAGCAUGAGUGCCUGGACAGCUGAGUGUGGUGAGACAGCUUCCUAGGCCACUGUGCAGGUGUGCUGCCCCAGCGGGUUCUUCUCAAAACAACUUUGACACCUGAGCCCGAGAUGGAUGUGGUCAUGCCAGUUUGUGAGAUGCCUCAAGUCACCUUUCCUGUGAUGUCUGUGUGAAGUACUUAGCAUCUCUUUAGUGGUUGUAAUCUCUUCGACAACACCACCUUCUUUGGCCCUCAUUUUACACACAAGGCCAAACUGCAAGUUUUUCAACUCUUUCUGCUCCCAAUUAUCACAGUACACUUGCUAAAAGCCACCAGCCAUACCCAUGCCACCCUCUGAAUGCUGUGCUGCCUUGAAAUUUCUCCUACCAAAUUAAUUAGUCCAUUAACUUUGAAUUCAGUUUCACAUCAAGUCUCAGGACAUGAGCAAAAGUAGACAACUUUUUGGCAGAAUGUAACAUGAAUGGCAUCCAGUCCAGUUUCCAAGAGUCGUCUUUCUCCUCUGAAGCUUCAUGAGCUCAGUCUUCACUGCCCACAGUCUUGUGGGCAUUCUGGUCUCCUGAGCAUCCUCCAGAAUCACCCACUAAGCUCUAAGUCCUCUCCAGCCUGUACUUCCGAACUUUUCCACGUUUCUUCCACAAACCAGUUCAAAAUGGUCAGGUUAGUCAUGGCAAUAAACCCAUUUCUGGGUUAUCAGUUUCUGUUUUAGUCUGCUUUUCAUUGCUGUGACCAAAAGACAUGACAAGAACAAUUUAGAAAAGAAGAAGUUUAUUUUGGUUCAUGGUUUUAGACAUUCAGUCCAUGACUGGCUGGCUCCAUGACUCUGGAAGAGCGUGGCAGAGGAAAUUUAUCAGUUCAUGACAGCCAGGAGGAGAGAGAGGGCAGAGGCAAGCAGGUGCAUGUGCCUCACUCACCAGGGACAGAGGUGAACCCCAAAGACAUGGCCCCAGUGACCAACUUCCUCCCAUCACACCCUACUUGCCUCCAGUUACCACCCAGUUAAUUCACUCAGGUGGAUUAACCCAGUGACAAUGAGCUUAGGGCUCCAAAAACUAAUCAUUUCACCUGUGAAACUUCUUACAUCAGCUCACCCAUGAGCUUUUGGGGAAGACUACUUAUGCAAAUCAUAUCACCUCAGGGGUCUCCACAGCACCUAGGUGGUCAUCUUGAAGGAACUGCUGGGUCACUCAUAGCAUUUCUGAACAAUAGUUUGCUAAAGACCCAGCUUUGUGCUGGGAGCUGUUUCUCAGACCCUGGCUUCCUCUCAUUCACGGACUGCUGCCCUCUACUCUCUGGUCUGCUCUCUCUGGUCUUCAGUGUCCUCUCAGCAUGGGUUCAUUCUGGUUCAUACAACCUGGUAUAUUUUCUGGAUCUCAAUACCAUCUUCCUUCUGUUCUUCAUUCUCCCUGGGAUCCACCUAGACUGCAUGGAUUCUCUCCCCUGAAGACUCUGCCUUGGAUUCUUCUCCAUCUCAAAUCCUGGAGCAUGGCCUCCCUGAGGUCAGAGCUGGGAACCUCAAUUUCUCUCCUCCCAGGCCCAGCUCCCACAGGUGGAUAGGGACUGUACUAAGUUGCCCUGGCCUUCGCCCUGGGCCAGGUGCCCUGGUGGGCAGGACCCUGCCCAGGAGCCCUGAGAGGGUGCAGUGGGCAGAGUUGCAAUAGUUUUAGAAGGCAACCUUGAACUCUUCCCAGAAGAAGGUCUGGGCACCAUGUUCUGGGUCGGAUUUCAUAAACCCCACGCUCACGACUGUUGAACAGUGUGGGCAGAAGCAGGCCAGAUUCUGCUGGUCACCUAUAAUUCAAAUCACCCCUUGCAUUUCUAUUUGAAACUAUUUUUUCUGCCUUUCAAAAACCGCAGAUGUUGAGGCAAGCCCUGUGGGAAAGUCUUUCUCCAAGGACACCCGGGCCACACUUCCCAAGCUGGUGCCUUCCUGAAAGAACAAGAUGUCUGGGCUGAGGUAGAAUUCAGUUUGCUUCUGAGGCUCCCCCAAUAACUGAAGUAGGCUCCCAACUGUUCCCAGGAAUGUCCCCAAAUGCCUGCCACCACUGUGGGAGCCUGGGCAGUGACUGCCAGAGUAGUGUGGGCCUGGGGACAGC